ACAGCAGUCGCCGCGGGAAAACGGAGGAUCCAAGCGUUAUCCGGAUUUAUUGGGUUUAAAGGGUGCGUAGGUGGCCUGUUAAGUCAGGGGUGAAAGACGGUAGCUUAACUAUCGCAGUGCCCUUGAUACUGAUGGGCUUGAAUGAACUAGAGGUAGGCGGAAUGUGACAAGUAGCGGUGAAAUGCAUAGAUAUGUCACAGAACACCAAUUGCGAAGGCAGCUUACUAUGGUUUUAUUGACACUGAGAGACGAAAGCUAGGGGAGCAAAUGGGAUUAGAUACCCCUGUAGUCCCUGUCUCUUAUAC
rnacentral:rRNA from 1 species